AACAAGGGUACUGUUGAAAUUAUCACCCCUGUGGAGCUCAUCAAGAAGGGUGACAAAGUGGGUUCCUCUGAAGCUGCUCUGCUUGCCAAACUUGGAAUCAGGCCCUUCUCAUAUGGUCUUGUUGUUCUCUCUGUUUAUGACAAUGGAUCUGUCUUCAGUCCUGAGGUUCUUGACCUGACUGAGGAUGAUCUCAUUGAAAAGUUUGCUAUGGGAGUUUCUAUGGUUACCUCCUUGUCAUUGGCCAUUUCUUACCCA
rnacentral:lncRNA from 1 species